GCGUGCAGACUGGAGCAGCCAGGGAUCAAACCUCCAACCUUCCAUAGCAACCAGGACCAUAAUGAACCCUGACUCCAACAGACACUCAGGAGCCACCUGCCCAAGCUGCAUGAACCUGCUGUUGAUGUCAGAGAGUCAAACUCUGCUGAAGAGUGGGUUGUUUCCUGUUCAGCCACUGGUCGACCUGCUCCCACUGUAACACUCUCACAACAAGACCUCAGCUUCUCACAGUACAACACUGUCAGUGUGUCCAACACCAACGCUACAUUCACUGUCACCACUACAGCUGUGCUCUCAGGUUCACGUAAACACAGCACACAGGUGGGAUGUGCAGCACGAGUGCUCUCUGCUCCUCACAGAGAGGUGAUGGAGACGA